GACGAACGCUGGCGGCGUGCUUAACACAUGCAAGUCGAGCGGUAAGGCCCUCGGGUACGACGAGCGGCGAACGGGUGAGUAACACGUGGGUGACCUGCCCUUAGCUCUGGGAUAAGCCUGGGAAACUGGGUCUAAUACCGGAUAUGACCUCAUGACGCAUGUUGUGGGGUGGAAAGCCUUGUGCGGCUAGGGAUGGGCCCGCGGCCUAUCAGCUUGUUGGUGGGGUGAUGGCCACCAAGGCGACGACGGGUAGCCGGCC
rnacentral:rRNA from 1 species